GGCAACUUGGCCGAGUGGUCUAAGGCGACGCACUCAAGGAAAUCCUUUACCCACUUCAGUGGAUAAGCAUUGCGUUCUCGCAAGAGGCGAGAGUUCGAAUCUCUCAGUUGUCA